UGUAUCUAAGCCUAAACUGUAGGUUACUGUCUCCUCAGCAUUUGUAUCUAAGCCUAUAGUAUGUGUGAUACUGCCUCCUGAACAUCUGUAUCUAAGCCAAGUUUAAUACAGUCUCCUCAGCAUUCGUAUGUAAGCCUGUAGUAUGUGUGAUACUGCCUCCUGAACAUCUGUAUCUAAGCCUAUAAUGUCUAAUACAGUCUCCUCUGCAUUUGUAUCUAAGCCUAUAGUAUGUGUUAUACUGCCUCCUGAACAUCUGUAUCUAAGCCUAAAUUGUAGGUUACUGUCUCCUCAGGAUUUGUAUCUAAGCCUGUAGUAUGUGUGAUACUGUCUCCUGAACAUCUGUAUCUAAGCCUAUAAUGUCCAAUACAGUCUCCUCAACAUUUGUAUCUAAGCCUGUAGUAUGUGUGAUACUGCCUCCUGAACAUCUGUAUCUAAGCCUAUAAUGUCCAAUACAGUCUCCUCAGCAUUUGUAUCUAAGCCUGUAGUAUGUGUGAUACUGCCUCCUGAACAUCUGUUUCUAAGCCUAUAAUGUUUAAUACAGUCUCCUCAGCAUUUGUAUCUAAGCCUAUAGUAUGUGUGAUACUGCCUCCUUAACAUCUGUAUCUAAGCCUAAACUGUAGGUUACUGUCUUCUCAGCAUUUGUAUCUAAGCCUAUAGGAUGUGUGAUACUGCCUCCUGAACAUCUGUUUCUAAGCCUAUAAUGUUUAAUACAGUCUCCUCAGCAUUUGUAUCUAAGCCUAUAGUAUGUGUGAUACUGCCUCCUGAACAUCUGUAUCUAAGCCUAAACUGUAGGUUACUGUCUUAUCAGCAUUUGUAUCUAAGCCUAUAGGAUGUGUGAUACUGCCUCAUGAACAUCUGUAUCUAAGCCUAAACUUGUAUCCAAGCUCUUAUGUGUAGUACUGUCUCUGAAGAAGAUACUCCCAGGACUUACAGAAGGGCUGAACUGUACUACAAUAAGACAGUUGCAAGAAAUGAAAUUGCAUAAAAACAUCCAAUUGGGUAACAAAUAACAAGUACAGGAACUCACCAAUAGAUGACAGAAACCAAAUAAGGAUGGGACAGAUAAUGACACAAGCUAAUUGAAGCAGACAGAUGAUGAAUAUGAACAAACUAAAAAUAAACUAAAUAGCUAUCCCUGAAUCUUUUCCUAGAUCUAUCCCUGAACAUUGACCCUU